GUGUUUACUUCAGCAGCACAUGGACUGGAAUUGGAGUGAGACAGAGAAUAUUAGCAUGGCUCUUGCACAGGGAUGACAUGCAAAUUUGUGAAGUGUUUUAUAUUUUA
rnacentral:snRNA from 1 species